GACGAACGCUGGCGGCGUGCCUAAUACAUGCAAGUCGAGCGGAUGGAAGGAAGCUUGCUUCCUAAAGUCAGCGGCGGACGGGUGAGUAACACGUGGGCAACCUGCCCCUAAGAUCGGGAUAACUUCGGGAAACCGGAGCUAAUACCGGAUAUGAUUAUGUCUCACAUGAGACGUAAUGGAAAGACGGUUUCGGCUGUCACUUAGGGAUGGGCCCGCGGCGCAUUAGCUAGUUGGUGAGGUAACGGCCCACCAAGGCGACGAUGCGUAGCCGACCUGAGAGGGUGAUCGGCCACACUGGGACUGAGACACGGCCCAGACUCCUACGGGAGGCAGCAGUAGGGAAUAUUGGGCAAUGGGCGCAAGCCUGACCCAGCCAUGCCGCGUGCAGGAAGAAGGCGUUAUGCGUUGUAAACUGCUUUUAUACAGGAAGAAACGACCCUUGCGAGGGGCAUUGACGGUACUGUAUGAAUAAGCACCGGCUAACUCCGUGCCAGCAGCCGCAGUAAUAC
rnacentral:rRNA from 1 species